CUUAUGCGUUGUUGGGUAGGGGAGCGUUCUGUAAGCCUGUGAAGGUGUGCUGUGAGGCAUGCUGGAGGUAUCAGAAGUGCGAAUGCUGACAUAAGUAACGAUAAAGCGGGUGAAAAGCCCGCUCGCCGGAAGACCAAGGGUUCCUGUCCAACGUUAAUCGGGGCAGGGUGAGUCGACCCCUAAGGCGAGGCCGAAAGGCGUAGUCGAUGGGAAACAGGUUAAUAUUCCUGUACUUGGUGUUACUGCGAAGGGGGGACGGAGAAGGCUAUGUUGGCCGGGCGACGGUUGUCCCGGUUUAAGCGUGUAGGCUGGUUUUCCAGGCAAAUCCGGAAAAUCAAGGCUGAGGCGUGAUGACGAGGCACUACGGUGCUGAAGCAACAAAUGCCCUGCUUCCAGGAAAAGCCUCUAAGCAUCAGGUAACAUCAAAUCGUACCCCAAACCGACACAGGUGGUCAGGUAGAGAAUACCAAGGCGCUUGAGAGAACUCGGGUGAAGGAACUAGGCAAAAUGGUGCCGUAACUUCGGGAGAA
rnacentral:rRNA from 1 species